AGAAACAAACAAGCAAAAUUGAAUAAUAAUAACAAACACUAA
rnacentral:sRNA from 1 species